UCCUAGAGGGUUAAAAAGAGUCAUGUAUCUUACCUCCCAUCCUAGUCUCAGGGCCUGUGAAGGUGAACCCACUGGAGGUGGGCAGGGGACAGGAGGGAAGUUCCAGAAGCAACCAUCUGAGAGAG